rnacentral:rRNA from 1 species
UACAGAGGGUGCAAGCGUUAAUCGGAAUUACUGGGCGUAAAGGGUGCGUAGGUGGUUUGAUAAGUUAGGUGUGAAAGUCCUGGGCUUAACCUGGGGAUUGCGCCUAAUACUGUUGAGCUUGAGUACUGUAGAGGAAGGUGGAAUUUCCGGUGUAGCGGUGAAAUGCGUAGAUAUCGGAAGGAACAUCAGUGGCGAAGGCGACUUUCUGGACAGAUACUGACACUGAGGCACGAAAGCGUGGGGAGCAAACAGG